AUUGAACGCUGGCGGCAGGCCUAACACAUGCAAGUCGAGCGGAUGAAGGGAGCUUGCUCCUGGAUUCAGCGGCGGACGGGUGAGUAAUGCCUAGGAAUCUGCCUGGUAGUGGGGGAUAACGUCCGGAAACGGGCGCUAAUACCGCAUACGUCCUGAGGGAGAAAGUGGGGGAUCUUCGGACCUCACGCUAUCAGAUGAGCCUAGGUCGGAUUAGCUAGUUGGUGGGGUAAAGGCCUACCAAGGGGACGAUCCGUAACUGGUCUGAGAGGAUGAUCAGUCACACUGGAACUGAGACACGGUCCAGACUCCUACGGGAGGCAGCAGUGGGGAAUAUUAGACAAUGGGCGAAAGCCUGAUCCAGCCAUGCCGCGUGUGUGAAGAAGGUCUUCGGAUUGUAAAGCACUUUAAGUUGGGAGGAAGGGCAGUAAGUUAAUACCUUGCUGUUUUGACGUUACCAACAGAAUAAGCACCGGCUAACUUCGUG
rnacentral:rRNA from 1 species